GUCGCUGUUGCUCCCCUAUGAGGUCUCUUUUCCAGCAACUGUUGCUGCUCUCGAUCGCCCGCUCUUCGCCGCUUUCGUCGAGCGUCGUCUGUCAGCAUGCCUUCCCAAAAGACUUUCAGGAUUAAGAAAAAGUUGGCGAAGAAGCUUAGGCAGAAUCGCCCUAUUCCUCACUGGAUCCGCAUGCGUACCGAUAACACCAUUCGG